UACGUAGGGUGCGAGCGUUAAUCGGAAUUACUGGGCGUAAAGUGUGCGCAGGCGGCCGAGCAAGUCGAGUGUGAAAGCCCCGAGCUUAACUUGGGAACUGCGCUCGAAACUACUUGGCUAGAGUGUGGCAGAGGGAGGUGGAAUUCCACGUGUAGCGGUGAAAUGCGUAGAGAUGUGGAGGAACACCGAUGGCGAAGGCAGCCUCCGUGGGCCAACACUGACGCUCAUGCACGAAAGCGUGGGGAGCAAACAGG
rnacentral:rRNA from 1 species